rnacentral:rRNA from 1 species
CGUAACAAGGUCUCCGUUGGUGAACCAGCGGAGGGAUCAUUACUGAGUUACCGCUCUAUAACCCUUUGUGAACAUACCUACAACUGUUGCUUCGGCGGGUAGGCCGUCCCCUGAAAAGGACGCCUCCCGGCCCGGACCGGACCCCCCGCGGGACCGGACCCGGCGCCCGCCGGAGGAUAACCAAACUCUAUUGUAACGACGUUUCUUCUGAGUGGCAUAAGCAAAAUAAUCAAAACUUUUAACAACGGAUCUCUUGGUUCUGGCAUCGAUGAAGAACGCAGCGAAAUGCGAUAAGUAAUGUGAAUUGCAGAAUUCAGUGAAUCAUCGAAUCUUUGAACGCACAUUGCGCCCGCCAGCAUUCUGGCGGGCAUGCCUGUUCGAGCGUCAUUUCAACCCUCAAGCUCUGCUUGGUGUUGGGGCUCUACGGUCGACGUAGGCCCUCAAAGGUAGUGGCGGACCCUCCCGGAGCCUCCUUUGCGUAGUAACAUUUCGUCUCGCACUGGGAUCCGGAGGGACUCUUGCCGUAAAACCCCCCAAUUUUCCAAAGGUUGAC